rnacentral:rRNA from 1 species
GACCUGACUCGCGAUGCAUCUAGAUUACGCGAAGAACCUUACCAGGGCUUGACAUGCCUCUGACCGGUCUAGAGAUAGACCUUCACCUUCGGGUGCAGGGGACACAGGUGGUGCAUGGUUGUCGUCAGCUCGUGUCGUGAGAUGUUGGGUUAAGUCCCGCAACGAGCGCAACCCCUAUUUUUAGUUGCUAACAGUUAGGCUGAGCACUCUAGAGAGACUGCCGAUGACAAAUCGGAGGAAGGUGGGGAUGACGUCAAAUCAUCAUGCCCUUUAUGUCCUGGGCUACACACGUGCUACAAUGGUCGGUACAGCGAGCAGCUACUUAGUGAUAAGAUGCUAAUCUCUCAAAGCCGAUCUCAGUUCGGAUUGUAGGCUGCAACUCGCCUACAUGAAGUCGGAGUUGCUAGUAAUCGUGAAUCAGAAUGUCGCGGUGAAUGCGUUCCCGGGUCUUGUACACACCGA